UUCGGUCUGGUGGCGAGUGGCGAACGGGUGAGUAAUAUAUCGGAACGUGCCCAGUCGUGGGGGAUAACGUAGUGAAAAUUACGCUAAUACCGCAUACGAUCUAAGGAUGAAAGCGGGGGAUCGCAAGACCUCGCGCGAUUGGAGCGGCCGAUAUCAGAUUAGGUAGUUGGUGGGGUAAAGGCUCACCAAGCCUGCGAUCUGUAGCUGGUCUGAGAGGACGACCAGCCACACUGGAACUGAGACACGGUCCAGACUCCUACGGGAGGCAGCAGUGGGGAAUUUUGGACAAUGGACGAAAGUCUGAUCCAGCCAUUCCGCGUGCAGGACGAAGGCCUUCGGGUUGUAAACUGCUUUUGUACAGAACGAAAAAGUUUCUAUUAAUACUAGGAGCCCAUGACGGUACUGUAAGAAUAAGCACCGGCUAACUACGUGCCAGCAGCCGCGGUAAUACGUAGGGUACAAGCGUUAAUCGGAAUUACUGGGCGUAAAGCGUGCGCAGGCGGUUAUGUAAGACAGAUGUGAAAUCCCCGGGCUCAACCUGGGAACUGCAUUUGUGACUGCAUAGCUGGAGUGCGGCAGAGGGGGAUGGAAUUCCGCGUGUAGCAGUGAAAUGCGUAGAUAUGCGGAGGAACACCGAUGGCGAAGGCAAUCCCCUGGGCCUGCACUGACGCUCAUGCACGAAAGCGUGGGGAGCAAACAGGAUUAGAUACCCUGGUAGUCCACGCCCUAAACGAUGUCAACUGGUUGUUGGGUCUUCACUGACUCAGUAACGAAGCUAACGCGUGAAGUUGACCGCCUGGGGAGUACGGCCGCAAGGUUGAAACUCAAAGGAAUUGACAGGGACCCGCACAAGCGGUGGAUGAUGUGGUUUAAUUCGAUGCAACGCGAAAACCUUACCCACCUUUGACAUGUAUGGAAGCCUUUAGAGAUAGAGGCGUGCUCGAAAGAGAGCCAUAACACAGGUGCUGCAUGGCUGUCGUCAGCUCGUGUCGU
rnacentral:rRNA from 1 species